UGGCAGACGGGUGAGGAGCACGUACCUGACCUGACACACGGAGGGGGAUAGUCCCCCGAAAGGGGGUUGAAUACCGCGUACGCUCGUCAAGGCAGCUUGAUGAGGAGAGGUGGCCUCUGCAUGCACGCUAUCGCCGUGUGAGGGGGGCGCGUCCUAUUAGCUGGCUGGUGGGGUAAUGGCCUACCAGGGCGACGAUGGGUCGCUGGUCUGAGAGGAUGAUCAGCCACACUGGGACUGAGACACGGCCCAGACUCCUACGGGAGGCAGCAGCGGGGAAUUUUGCGCAAUGGGGGGAACCCUGACGCAGCAACGCCGUGUGAGUGACGACGCCGUUCGCGGUGUAAAGCUCUGUGAGGCGGGACGGAGGCUCCGGGUGAAGAACCUGCGAGGGUGACGGUACCGCCACAGCAAGCCCCGGCUAACUCCGUGCCAGCAGCCGCGGUAAGACGGAGGGGGCGAGCGUUGUUCGGAAUUACUGGGCGUAAAGCGCCCGCAGGCGGUGACGUGAGUGUUUCGUGAAAGCCCCCGGCUCAACCGGGGACGGGCGAAGCAGACUGCGUGACUUGAGUGCUGGAGGGGGAGGCGGAAUUCCUGGUGGAGCGGUGAAAUGCGUAGAGAUCAGGAAGAACGUCAGUGGCGAAGGCGGCCUCCUGGACAGACACUGACGCUGAGGGGCGAGAGCGUGGGGAGCGAACGGGAUUAGAUACCCCGGUAGUCCACGCCGUAAACACUGGGCACUAUGUAUGGGGGUGGAGAUCACUUCCGUGCAGGAGCUAACGCAGUAAGUGCCCUGCUUGGGGAGUACGGUCGCAAGGCUGAAACUCAAGAGGAAUUGACAGGGGGCCACGCACGAAGCGGUGGAGCAUGUGGUUUAAUUAGACGCAACGCGCAGUACCUUACCUGGGUUUGACAU
rnacentral:rRNA from 1 species